rnacentral:sRNA from 1 species
GCCGGGCGCAGUGACGCACGCCUGUAAUCCCAGCGGCUUGGGAGGCUGAGGCAGGAGGAUCGCUAGUUCAAAACCAGCCAAAGAAAUGGUGAGGCACUAAGCAAAUCAGUGAGACCCUGUCUCUA